rnacentral:rRNA from 1 species
GCCUGCCCAGUGAACAAUUAAACGGCCGCGGUACCCUAACCGUGCAAAGGUAGCAUAAUCAUUUGUCUACUAAUUAUAGACCUGUAUGAAAGGCAAAAUGAGGGUCCAACUGUCUCUUAUAAUAAAUCAAUUAAACUGAUCCCCUAGUAAAAAAGCUAGAAUCCUAACACAAGACCAGAAGACCCUGUGAAGCUUAAACUAAACUAUUAAACCUUAUAAUAACUAAUUUCGGUUGGGGCGACCUUGGAAAAAAAAAGAACUUCCAACACAUGAUUUUUCCAAAUCUAAAUUCUUUAGGCCAACAAGCCAUCUAACGACCCAGCUUAGUGCUGAUAAACGAAACAGUUACUCCAGGGAUAACAGCGCAAUCUUCUUUAAGAGCCCAUAUCAAAAAGAAGGUUUACGACCUCGAUGUUGGAUCAAGACAUCCUAAUGGUGCAGAAGCUAU